rnacentral:rRNA from 1 species
UAAUUGAAGAGUUUGAUCAUGGCUCAGAUUGAACGCUGGCGGCAGGCCUAACACAUGCAAGUCGAGCGGUAACAGGGGAAGCUUGCUUCUCGCUGACGAGCGGCGGACGGGUGAGUAAUGUAUGGGGAUCUGCCCGAUAGAGGGGGAUAACUACUGGAAACGGUGGCUAAUACCGCAUAAUCUCUUAGGAGCAAAGCAGGGGACCUUAGGGCCUUGCGCUGUCGGAUGAACCCAUAUGGGAUUAGCUAGUAGGUAAGGUAAUGGCUUACCUAGGCGACGAUCCCUAGCUGGUCUGAGAGGAUGAUCAGCCACACUGGGA